rnacentral:rRNA from 1 species
AUGCUGUACGACGCGGCGGAGCUGGAAGGGAGCCACAAGCACCUGUUCGCCGUCUACAGGGAGGCCUGCGCGAUCUACCAGCUGGUGUACGAGCACGCGGUGCGGUGCCGGCGUGUCGAAAGGUGCGGCUUCGCGUGGAGGGUCGCCGGUCGCGCGCUGUGCGAGUUCUACGUGAUCAAGCGCCGCGGCGACAGGGUGGUCGCCGACAUGCAGGUCCUCCGCGACGCCUUCAGGAAGGAUCGCGGUGCGUAG